rnacentral:rRNA from 1 species
AUUGAACGCUGGCGGCAGGCUUAACACAUGUAAGUCGAGCGGGGGAAGGUAGCUUGCUACUGGACCUAGCGGCGGACGGGUGAGUAAUGCUUAGGAAUCUGCCUAUUAGUGGGGGACAACAUCUCGAAAGGGAUGCUAAUACCGCAUACGUCCUACGGGAGAAAGCAGGGGAUCUUCGGACCUUGCGCUAAUAGAUGAGCCUAAGUCGGAUUAGCUAGUUGGUGGGGUAAAGGCCUACCAAGGCGACGAUCUGUAGCGGGUCUGAGAGGAUGAUCCGCCACACUGGGACUGCGCCACGGCCCAGACUCCUACGGGAGGCAGCAGUGGGGAAUAUUGGACAAUGGGGGGAACCCUGAUCCAGCCACGCCGCGUGUGUGAAGAAGGCCUUAUGGUUGUAAAGCACUUUAAGCGAGGAGGAGGCUACUCUAGUUAAUACCUAGGGAUAGUGGACGUUACUCGCAGAAUAAGCACCGGCUAACUCUGUGCCAGCAGCCGCCGUAACAC